rnacentral:lncRNA from 10 species
ACUUCCUCAAUCUGCACUCCACCUUACUUAAAAUACAGUCUUGGGUCUGUAAUUCCCUUAUCUGACUCUCAAGGAAAUGACAAAGUAAUGCCUAGAUUGGACUAAACCUCAUUUAACUUCAAGGCUGACCUUUCUCAAAGUUGAACCUUCGUCUUGUGAGGAACAGAAAGAUCAAGAACUCUGAAGCACCUCGACUUUCCACCUGUGAAGAUGUGUUCAAAUUUGCAACGUGCGGCCACACCUAUGAGGUCACUCCCUCUGGAGGAAACCAGCUGCCACUUUGUGAGGAUACUCAUAGUCCUGUGGAGGCAUAUCCUCCAUAUGGCUGAGACCUCCUGCGAACAACCAUCACUGACUUGCCAGACAUGAGUGUGCCACCUUGGAAGCAGAUUUUCCAGCCCCAGUUAAGCCUUCAGAUGACAUCAGCCCCUGCUAAUCUCUUGACUACAACCUCAUGAGAGACCCUGAGCCAGAACUAGCCAGGCUUACCCCUCAUGGUUACAAAGUGGCUGCAACAGCUCCAGGUGUUCUAUCCUUUAACACAGAAUAACUC